CCUACGGGUGGCAGCAGUCGAGAAUCAUUCACAAUGGGGGAAACCCUGAUGGUGCGACGCCGCGUGGGGGAAUGAAGGUCUUCGGAUUGUAAACCCCUGUCAUGUGGGAGCAAAUUAAAAAGAUAGUACCACAAGAGGAAGAGACGGCUAACUCUGUGACAGCAGCCGCGGUAAUACGGAGGGCUCAAGCGUUGUUCGGAAUCACUGGGCGUAAAGCGUGCGUAGGAUGUUUCGUAAGUGGUGUGUGAAAGGCGGGGGCUCAACCCGCGGACGGCACAUGAUACUGCGAGACUAGAGUAAUGGAGGGGGAACCGGAAUUCUCGGUGUAGCAGUGAAAUGCGUAGAUAUCGAGAGGAACACUCGUGGCGAAGGCGGGUUCCUGGACAUUAACUGACGCUGAGGCACGAAGGCCAGGGGAGCGAAAGGGAUUAGAUACCCGAGUAGUC
rnacentral:rRNA from 1 species